GGAAUGAACGCUGGCGGCGCGCCUAAUACAUGCAAGUCGAGCGAGAAGACGUAGCAAUACGUUUGUAAAGCGGCGAACGGGUGAGGAAUACAUGGGUAACCUACCCCUGAGUGGGGAAUAACUAGCCGAAAAGGUUAGCUAAUACCGCGUACGCUCCUUGGACUUCGGUUCAGGGAGGAAAGCGCUACCGUGGGUAGCGCGCUCUUGGAUGGGCUCAUGUCCUAUCAGCUUGUUGGUGAGUAACGGCUCACCAAGGCUUCGACGGUAGC
rnacentral:rRNA from 1 species